rnacentral:rRNA from 1 species
UACGAAGGGUGCAAGCGUUACUCGGAAUUACUGGGCGUAAAGCGUGCGUAGGUGGUUGUUUAAGUCUGCUGUGAAAGCCCUGGGCUCAACCUGGGAAUUGCAGUGGAUACUGGGCGACUAGAGUGUGGUAGAGGAUAGUGGAAUUUCCGGUGUAGCAGUGAAAUGCGUAGAGAUCGGAAGGAACAUCUGUGGCGAAGGCGGCCAUCUGGGACAACACUGACGCUGAAGCACGAAAGCGUGGGGAGCAAACAGG